rnacentral:rRNA from 1 species
UGGGGAAUAUUGCACAAUGGGCGCAAGCCUGAUGCAGCCAUGCCGCGUGUAUGAAGAAGGCCUUCGGGUUGUAAAGUACUUUCAGCGGGGAGGAAGGCGAUAAGGUUAAUAACCUUGUCGAUUGACGUUACCCGCAGAAGAAGCACCGGCUAACUCCGUACCAGCAGCCGCGGUAAUACGGAGGGUGCAAGCGUUAAUCGGAAUUACUGGGCGUAAAGCGCACGCAGGCGGUUUGUCAAGUCGGAUGUGAAAUCCCCGGGCUCAACCUGGGAACUGCAUUCGAAACUGGCAGGCUAGAGUCUUGUAGAGGGGGGUAGAAUUCCAGGUGUAGCGGUGAAAUGCGUAGAGAUCUGGAGGAAUACCGGUGGCGAAGGCGGCCCCCUGGACAAAGACUGACGCUCAGGUGCGAAAGCGUGGGGAGCAAACA